UACGAAGGGGGCAAGCGUUGCUCGGAAUCACUGGGCGUAAAGGGCGCGUAGGCGGGAUGGCAAGUCAGUCGUGAAAUCUCUCGGCUCAACCGAGAAACGUCGGCUGAUACUGCCGUUCUUGAGGGAUGCAGAGGAGACUGGAAUUCCCGGUGUAGCGGUGAAAUGUGUAGAGAUCCGGAGGAACACCAAAGGCGAAGGCAGUGUCCUGGGGAGUACCUGACGCUCAGGUGCGAAAGCCAGGGGAGCGAACGGG
rnacentral:rRNA from 1 species